GCGGGGCGGCUGGCGCGGCGCUGGAGUUGGGGCGCGUUGCGCAGCUGGACCUUGUUUCUGCUCUGUUGCUGCCUGGCUGGUUUAACAUCCUGUGGGAGCAGGGGCUAUUCUGCUCAGCCCAACUUCACGGCGUCCACAGCAGUCCUGUGCAGGUCACCUGUUCCCAGGCAUUCCCGCUGCACAUGAGUGGAACAGCAAUGAGAGCCAGUCAGGUGAACUUUGAAAAUGCAAUGAAUCAG